AAAUACAAGGGCUCCAAAAUUUUCACUUUUAACAAACGAGCUCUCUCUCAGCAAAAAUAUUCAAAGGCUCUCUGUCGCUGGCAUACAUAGAUGGAUUUCAUCUUCUGACUUCGAUUCAGUUGAUAUCAGCCGCACUCCCGUAGAUCGAUUGGAUUCUGGCUUCACCAAACAAUUAAUGCUUCGAUCUGACUUUAUUUGAAAUUGGGGUUUUAUUAAGCUUUGUUUCAUGAGAUUUGGCUGAAUUAGGGCUUCAAUGUGUGAUUGAGUCAGGACUUGUCUGAUUUAAGGGUGACUUAGAGCAGAGAGGGAGGGUGCUAUCUGCUCUGGCUACCUUCACGAUUCUACAAGAACCUUUAAGAAUUUCUCCCGACUCUGGUAACCAUCCAUUAUCCCAUCUGAUGGGUUCUGUCUGUGGUAUGCGUGAUGUGCAAAUGAUGGCUGUGAAUGGAGGCUUAACAGAGACUUGUGGUUUGUCGGGUAUUGGUUAUCCAGAUGAGAUGAAAGAUGGAUGGUUUGAUUCAGGGAGUAUGAAUAUAAUCUUCUUGUGAUAUAGCUAAUUGAUAUGAUUGAAAGAGGGAGUUCCUACUUCCAAUUACUUUCUUGGAACCUCCGUUUGAAGGUUGCUUUUGGUGCUGCAAAGGGCCUCUCCGCAGACCCCAGAUCCAGGCCCGACAUGGUUCAGGUGAAAGCUUUAGAGCAGUUUCACCAGGACUAACCUAUGAUCAGUUGUGUAUCGGAGACCUUCUUCUUUCUAGAGAAUAAUCCAUUCUUACUAUAUGUCCAACACAUAUGGAUAGUGUUUCGGGGAAGGCUUUAACUGAACUGGUGAUGACAACACAGCUACAUUAGAGGUGUUGCUAGAUUUUUGAAUGGCCGAAAUAGGGAACCCAUGCUUAAUUCUGUAUCUCUACCCUUUGCUAGCUAUUUGGUAAUCUAAAUAUUUGCUGUUACUUUCAAUUUUGUAGAUAAUUUGGUUUGUAGCUACUUGGAUUUGGUUGGACUUGGUAGUUAAUUUAUUUUGUAGCUACUUGGAUUUGAUUGGAUUUAUUGGGAUGUUUAAUAUUUAAACAGUAUAUUUUCAAUUC